GGCUUCUGGGGUUUCGAGCGGCGUUCGACCGCGUGGAGAGCGCCUGGUCGCCAAGUCCGUGCGGCCCAGCCGCCGGUGCUACAACUCAUGACCUCAUUGGGGUAGGACAACCCGCUAGACUUAAGCAUAUUAAUCAGCGGAGGAAAAGAAACUAACCAGGAUUCCCUCAGUAACUGCGAGUGAAGUGGGAUCAGCUCAAUGUGUGAAUCGGGCUUGGGGUACCUCCCGGAUCCGAGUUGUGCACUAUGGACGCUUUGUCUGCGUCCGUAACGGCGGUGGAAGUCCGGUGAAACACGGCACCUCAGAGGGUCACAGUCCUGUACCACCUGCCUGCACUCGCGCCAAUGACAAGCGCUCCUCGAGUCGCGUAGUUUUGUAAUGCUGCGCCAAGUGGGAGGUAGAGACCUUCUAAGGCUAAAUAUGAUGACGUGACCGAUAGCACACAAGUACCGCGAGGGAAAGGUGAAAAGCAACCAUGAAAAAUGGGUUGAAACAGCAGUGAAAGCGCCACCGGGAUAAGGGCUAUCGGGUGCUGGGGCUCGUUGGGUGUGCUUCAGUGCUACCCUUUGAGACGGCCCGCGCGGGUUGAUGUUGGGGCGAUAGAUGCGCCGCAGGAAUUCAGCUGUCUCCGGGCAGCGUUGUAGCCUACGGUUGCCG
rnacentral:rRNA from 1 species